rnacentral:rRNA from 1 species
GACGAACGCUGGCGGCGUGCUUAACACAUGCAAGUCGAACGGAAAGGCCCUGCUUUUGUGGGGUGCUCGAGUGGCGAACGGGUGAGUAACACGUGAGUAACCUGCCCUUGACUUUGGGAUAACUUCAGGAAACUGGGGCUAAUACCGGAUAGGAGCUCCUGCUGCAUGGUGGGGGUUGGAAAGUUUCGGCGGUUGGGGAUGGACUCGCGGCUUAUCAGCUUGUUGGUGGGGUAGUGGCUUACCAAGGCUUUGACGGGUAGCCGGCCUGAGAGGGUGACCGGCCACAUUGGGACUGCGAUACGGCCCAGACUCCUACGGGAGGCAGCAGUGGGGAAUAUUGCACAAUGGGCGGAAGCCUGAUGCAGCAUCGCCGCGUGCGGGAUGACGGCCUUCGGGUUGUAAACCGCUUUCGCCUGUGACGAAGCGUGAGUGACGGUAAUGGGUAAAGAAGCACCGGCUAACUACGUG